CUCUCUUUCUCUCUCUCCCUCCCAUGGGUAUCACCACAUUCGCCAAUUUUGAAUACAGAUGUGACUUCCAUCUGUGUGAUCUAUUCUUUAUCUUUUCUUUGUAUUUCUUUUUCUUUCUUUCUUACAUGGAAAUAACAACAAUAAUAUUGAUAUUACUUACUUGGUGGCAGCAAUGCAUCUGAUAAAAGUUGGGACGUAACAACAAAAGACUAGAAAAGUAAAUGGCACUAAUAAAAACAGCAGUAGAAGCAACUUUCAACUCAACUUGCAUGAGUGGUUCUAAAAAGACCAUUAUAGAGAAAUGUAAACAGAAACACACUGACCUGCAGGCUGCCACAGACAUCUACAACACCCACUCUUCCCACAGCACUUCGCCUGUUCUCUUCUUGUUGCUUGGCAACCCCUUUUUUUCUGUAAAACGCGAGGCAGUGUGUUAGAGGAAUCCUCCAUGUGGGUUUGGCUGUGCUCACUGAAUCAGGUCAGUGGCUGUGGAGCCUGGAGGGUGUUUGACACUUCUGCUCCAGAGGGAGACAGAGACGACCUGGUGGGAGCUGGAUGAUCUUCAGCAGCCUGAACGGUCCUCAGGAACAUCUCUGAACUGGACAAACAAAGAGAUAAUUACUACAGGUGCUCCUGCUGGACCCUCGGAUAAAAAAGCCCCACACAGAUGUCCUUCCCCUGGAGCCAACAUGAUCUUUAGGAGAUGUAAGAAUGCAGCAGUGAUCAGGAUUCCCAGACUCUGGACGUGUAUCUGACUGGACGUGUGUGAAGACCCUCACACACAGCUCCUCCCUGCAGCAGGUGUGAGGAGAGACCUGGUGAAGUGGAACAGAGAGACUGACCUUCUGCACAAUUCUGAUACUCAGGCUGAGCUCACGUUCUCCUGAUGCUGUAUCAGGUUUUUACAGAAAGAGAAGAAACAAUCCACCAAAAUGAAGCAUAAUAAAGGAGACUUCUCUGCACAGAUAAGAUGAACACAUAUACAUGGCUUACUGUAGAGAAACGUAUCAACGUUACUUGAGGUUAACAUAACUACAGCCUAAAUAAGGCAUUUUUAUUGUAAUUAUACAGCACCAGCAUGGACCAUAUGUAAUGUAGAGGAUGUUAAAAUAUUGAUUAAUCUGAUAAAAUGUUUCGUUUUUUUUUUCGCACCCCUUUCACAAUAUCAAAGAUACAUGAUUUAAAAAAUGUAGUGAAUCACAAAAUAGAGUACACUCCUCACAUUUCUGCAGAUAUUUAAGUAGAUCUUUUCAUGGGACAACACUGACAAAAUGACACCUUGACACAAUGAAAAGUAGUCUUUGUGCAGCUUAUAUAACAGUGUAAAUGUAUUCUUUCCUCAAGAUCAAGUUCCAAAAAUAUGUUUUUAUUAGAAUAACUUAUAGUAAAAUAGUAAAAAAAAAUUGUCUUAUGUCUUAUAAACAUUUGUCUUAUAAAUAUUUGUUUUAUUUAUCUCAACAUGAAUAUGAUAUAUAUUAAAGUAUUCAGCAUAGCUGGUUAUACAGUACCAGUCAAAGGUUUGGACACCCCUUUUUUUUCUUUUUGUGUUUUCGUUCUUUUUGUGAAUUUCUUUGUUGUAAAUUUAAUAUUGAAGAUAUUGAAGAUAUUAAAGCUAAACAAAUUCAGAAUAGUUUUUAUACAUUCUUCUACAUUUAUCCUUGAGGACAGAUCUGCACACUCUUGGUAUUUUAAUCUCAGUGUCUCUAUAAGGGAGAGUCACCUGGUAUAGUUUUCUCAGCCUCUUGAAAGAGUUCCUGGAGGUGCUGAACAAUAGUUGAUGCUUUUCCUUCAUGCUGUGAAGCUCCAGCUCAUCCCGAAUCACCAUCUCAAUUGGGUUUAGGUUGAAGGAUUGUGGAGGACAAAUUUUUUUUUUGUUCAAUAUGUAAUUCCCUAUAUGUCCUUUAACUGUUUUCAUGUCUUUAACAUUAAUCUACAACUUAGAAAAUAAAUUUAAUAGAAAUACAAAAGAAAAACACUGAAUGAGAUGACGUGUCCCAACUUCUGUCUGGUACUAAGACGUACUAAGAUAAGCUCAGCUUCAUGAUAACAUCAAUCACUAGGAGACAUACACAUGGGAGAAAUUCAAGAAAAUCAGGGAACAAAAAAGGAUCAUAUUAAGGAUAUCAGCUGCGCAUAAGUGCCAUUUUUCAACAUCUACUUAGUAAUAAUUAAAACAAUUAUGCUAUACUUAUAACAGUCAUACAGCCACUCCACUCACUCACUUCUAAACAGUAAAUUCACCAGUGGUAAAUCAACACUGUUAGUGUUAAAUUUUACAUUCUUAGUGUUAAUUUAACACUAAUAGUAUUGAUAUAACACUGGUGAAUUUAUUGUGUACUCAUGCGUGAGCCUCCUACCUGCGCAUCACUGCUCAUUCAUUUUCACUAGGUCACAUUACCUUUCAAAAUUCCAUCAAAAUCAAACCACAUAUAUGGAGUGAGAUACAGACUAGAACUUAAAAGGCACAUGACUGUAAAGCACAGUGAUUUCUGGUGGAAUUAUUAAACCUAGCUUUUCCCCGCUUAUCAGUUAUAGUAAGUUUAUUUGGAUAUAUUAUAAUUCUUUUCUUAUGAUUUUGUUUGUUAUUUAGAGGGAAAGUACUGUAUGUAAGCCCCUAUGGGCUUUCCCUGCACGUUUUAUUUUAUUUUUUUCUCAUUUCUCUAAUACGCAUCCCUGUUUGCUUCCUUCUUUCACAUAUGUGUGCAAAUUAAAAAAUUAAAAAAUAAAUACAGAAAUAGUGAGUCAAAUGUGCUCUGCCAGAUGAUUGAGCAGGAGUUAAAGGGUUAACACAAUGUUUAAAAGCUACCAGUAGUCAGCAUGGAGAGUACAUUGACUCACAUGGAGCUGCUCGGUAUGUUUGUUAUUAAACUCCUGCCAAAGCAGUAAAGUGGGACAAAGGACAGAACAGCAGAAGAAGCUUCACCACCAGCAAGUUUUACUUAAACCAGAGAAAUAUGACAGUCAGGCAGUUUCUCCCACGGCAAAAACACACUGGCUUCAGGAGGAGGCUCUUCACCCACCACAGGAAAAUGCUAAACUAUUCCAUGGACAAUGAAGAGCCCCGAGAGCAGAAGAGCGAGAGCAGGGAGGAGUCCAUUCUGGCCUGUCUGGGGAUCGCAGGAACCAUCCUCAACCUGCUGGUCAUCAUCUUUGUCUACAUCUACACUUCCCUUUGAAAUAAAAGGAAAUGCGGACUAAAAAAAACUAAACCUGGACUAUGGAAUCUACAGUAGCUCUUUCAGGGGGCAAUGGGCAUUCGCUGAACAUCAGAACAGCUAAACCUUAUUUCUCUGUCAUUGUUAGUUCAUAGCAGCCUUACAUGGUUAAACAAUUAACCAUAAAUAAUGUCAUGGUUUUUGUAUAUUUAUCUUUCCAAGCACAAUAAGUCUGUACACAUUUUGAAACUACUGCCUUGAUGAUUUUCUACAUGACCCUGUUUCUUAGCUUUUAGAGGUCAAAUUAAAUCUUAUAAUCUGAGAA